GCUUCGUUAGCUCAGCCGGUAGAGCACCUGACUCUUAAUCAGGGUGUCCGGGGUUCGAGUCCCCGACGGAGUACCA
rnacentral:tRNA from 1 species